CUCUCGCGGCCAACUAAACUUUUUUUUAACAGCGCGCGCCGCCUAGAAUUUUGCUAAACUAUGCGAUGGGCGUAGCGAGCAUGCGGGUUUAGCAUUCCUCCCCGCUUUGUUUAAGAGGAAUAGUUGACAUUCCGGGCGUUUCGGUAUAGUUUUCUUGUAGGGCCUGCUGCGAAAUAUUGUUGAUUCCGUUCCAACUCUGCUUUGGGUUGACAUCUAUCUGCCUGGUUCUGCUCCUGCUUUGCGACCAGCAUUUACAGCGAGCAUUGCACACUCCACUUUUUCUGCAAGUUUUGGGUGCGGCUCCCCGAUAGCAGCAAUUUAAUUUUAUAUCCGGCAUUGCCGGCAUUGCAUUUUACAAUAUUUUUGCUGCUUCUACAUCGAUUUCAACAUCGGACACGGAGUAGGCAUGAGCGUAGACCAUCCCAAGUGAUACCAUCCUUGGAGCUACUUCAUUAGCCCAUUUCCCUUUUGACUGUCGUUUUUAUAGACCCAACAAAGUUUUGUUUUUAUAGACCCAACAAAGUUUUGUUUUUAUAUACCCAACCAAGUUUCUAAUAUAAUUCUUGUGUAAAUAUCUAAUAAUUUGUAUAUAUUGUCUCUAUUUGUAUUAUAAAUAAAACCAUUUCAUAUUUGUGAGACUACAGAAAGUUCGCUCUUCCCAAAUCAUUUUUUAGUGGAACCACUCGGACAUAAGGAGAGUGCCCCAUUUUAACAAACUAAAUUCCAUUUCCCUUUUGACUGUCGUUUUUUAUACACCCAACAAAGUUCUGUUUUUAUACACCCAACCAAGUUUCUAAUAUAAUUCUUGUGUAAAUAUCUAAUAAUUUGUAUAUAUUGUCUCUAUUUGUAUUAUAAAUAAAACCAUUUCAUAUUUGUGAGACUACAGAAA